CAGUCGCCGCGGGAAUACGAAGGGUGCAAGCGUUAAUCGGAAUCACUGGGCGUAAAGCGUGCGUAGGCGGUUUGUUAAGUCUGUUGUGAAAUCCCCGGGCUCAACCUGGGAAUGGCAAUGGAUACUGGCAAGCUAGAGUGUGUCAGAGGAUGGUGGAAUUCCCGGUGUAGCGGUGAAAUGCGUAGAGAUCGGGAGGAACAUCAGUGGCGAAGGCGGCCAUCUGGGACAACACUGACGCUGAGGCACGAAAGCGUGGGGAGCAAACAGGAUUAGAUACCCCAGUAGUCCCUGUCUCUUAUAC
rnacentral:rRNA from 1 species